GCAAACAGCAAGUUGCCCGUUCAAGUGAUUAUCUGGAUGGCCAGUUGACCUUUCGUGAGCGGCUGCUGGUGCGCCAUCAUUUGCUGUUCUGCCCUAACUGCCGUCGGUUCAUCAAGCAAAUGCGGUUGCUCAAUGCCACCCUCAAACACGUGCCGCAGGCCCCGCCAGCGGACCUUGAGGCGACGGUUGAACGAAUGGUGCGUGAGCGGUCGCGUCACCAAAAAGGGGACUAAAGACAAAGCGCCGUCGACGGAUGAAGGGGAUCGACGGCG
rnacentral:sRNA from 1 species